UAACUCGAAGGUCAUGGGUUCGACCCCCCUGCUGACCAGGUUGGCUAGCUCAGUUGGUUAGAGCGUCGAGCUAAUAUC
rnacentral:tRNA from 1 species